GGUAGUGGAAGACCGGCUGACGGUACCAUUGUCUGUAAGCAAAGUAAGGCAGUCCAGCUUUAUGCUGGACGCUCUACCAACGCGAGCAGGCGUUGUGGCGCUGAGGAAAGUCCGCUCACUCAUUCCCAAAAAACAAACCUGAGAAGGUUUCCCAAAGAGCAGAAACGAUACCUUUCCAAAAAUUACUAUGACCAAUUGUGAGAUUUUUUGAAAAAGGAUGAAACGUGCUUUGGGUUAAACAGAACUGAAAUAAGUUCUGGGAGUGCAAGUCUUUAAGACGCUUAGGUGAAUGCCGGCAACAGCCUUUUGAAAAAAGGCUGGCGAAAAUUUUCGUCAACCUUUUGCUAAAAGGUUGAAACAAAAAGCGGCUUACUCUCCACAACC
rnacentral:RNase_P_RNA from 1 species